GCGCCCGUAGCUCAGUGGAUAGAGCGUCUGACUACGGAUCAGAAGGCCGGGGGUUCGAAUCCCUUCGGGCGCG
rfam:Actinobaculum massiliae ACS-171-V-Col2 genomic scaffold supercont1.1, whole genome shotgun sequence.